CAGGGAGACAACAAAAUGUUUAAUAUUAUUAUUUUGUCACCUUAGGUCGAUCGGUAUCUCACAUUCUUAAUCAAUUAAGAAUUUCAUUUCCUAAGUUUUUCUAGGUCACACCCAUUAUUUUUCCUGGGCCAUUAGCUCAGGUGGUUAGAGCGCACCCCUGAUAAGGGUGAGGUCCCUGGUUCAAGUCCAGGAUGGCCCAUAUUCUCUAUGUUGGGGGUAUAGCUCAGUUGGUAGAGCGCCUGCUUUGCAAGCAGGAUGUCAGCGGUUCGAGUCCGCUUACCUCCACUGAUUACCACCUCUUCCAUAAUCUGUAAAAAGGAAAUGUUUUGAGUUGUGAUCAAAUUCUGAACGAAUCUAGCUUCCUAAUGAAAUCAUUAAGAUGCUGGACUCAUUGAAUUAAUUUCAUUGUUUUCAGAGAACCUUGACAACUGCAUAGAUUAUUUUUAAAGACAAUAAGCAUCUUUAAUGAUGCAGAUUUAUUAUUUGUGCGAAUGCAUUAAUAACAAUUCUAUUAAGCUGAUGCUUCAAUUUUGAAGUUAUU
rnacentral:tRNA from 1 species